UACCCUUGGCAUUCAGGGUGGACAGCAUCAGGACAGAAUUCAGGCUAGCCUCAGCUACAUAGCUGACUGCAGGCUGGGUGAGUCUACAUCAGACCCUGAAAAUUAAUGGAAGGCGUUUGGAAGGGAGACCAGGACACAUCCCCUUAAGUAGUGGCCCAGAGUCUCCGUGCUCUGGACCCAGGGCCUCACACCAAAGCUGGGUCUAGAUGAGAACCAGAGGUUGGAGGAUGUCACUCCAUGCAGUGAGAUACAUUGACUCCUGUCAACACCAAUCUACUUCAAAGAAGAUGAUCAGCAUUGAAAACUCCAUAUGGAGCUUACUUUGUGGCAAAAGUUAAGUUACUGGGCAAAGAAACUGCACUCUUCUCAUUUGCUGAAAGUCACUGUCCAAACUGGCCCAGUAGGACACAGGAAAGGUGACUGCAGAACUUUGACCAGACAAGCCCUCACCUCCCCUCUGACCCCAUCCACCUCUAAGAACUGGAAGAGACAACGGGAAUGGAGGAGCAACUCAGGGAAAGCUAGUGCAAUGGAAACUUCCAGAAAUGCACGAGGGAGACCCUAGCGAAGACUGCUCCUAGCAACAGGGAUAAGGGAUACAGAGCCUGAACUGGCCAUCUCCUGGAGCCGGACAAGACUUCCAGUGGAGGCCUUGGAACAGCAACCCAGCCACAAAAUCUUUGACUUACAAUCUGUCCUGCCUACAAGAUGUGCUGGGGUAGAGGCGACUUGGAAACUGUAGGGGUUCCCAAACAAACAGCUUGAGACCCAUGCUAUGGAAGGGAGUGCACCCCUGAAACUGCCUGGAAUGCCAGCCCCCCCUCAAAGAAACAAUGAAAGAAAGAAAUUCAAUUCAAUGAAAUGAUUCCUAAUGGUAUUCUGAUAUAUUCAUAGAUUGGUGACUAGCCCAACUGUCAGAGAGGCUUCAAUAAGCAACAGAUGCAGAGACCAAAAGCCAAACAUUAGGCAGAACUGAAGGAAUCCUCCAGAAGAGGAGGAAGGAUUGGAGGAGCCUGAGGGGUUAAAACCACCCUAAGAAAACCCACAGAAUCAACUAAUGUGGCCUCACGGGGCUCACAGAGACUGGAGACAAUCAGUUAAGACUGUAUGACUGACCAAGGCCCUCUGCAUACAUGUGACAGCUGCGUAGCUUGGUGUUCCUGUGGGACUCCAAGCAGUGGGAACAGGGAGUGUCUUUGUUUUCAGAACCUUUUUCCUCAUACUGAGUUGUCUCUUCAAGCCUUAAGAAAAGGGGAGGUACCUAAUCUUAUUGCAACUCAAUAUGCUGUAUUUGGUUGACA